AAUUGUACCCCUGCCUUACCCUGCAAGUCUAGCGGAUGAAGGGAGCUUGAUCCUGGAUUCAGCGGCGGACGGGUGAGUAAUGGCUAGGAAUCUGCCUGGUAGUGGGGGAUAACGUCCGGAAACGGGCGCUAAUACCGCAUACGUCCUGAGGGAGAAAGUGGGGGAUCUUCGGACCUCACGCUAUCAGAUGAGCCUAGGUCGGAUUAGCUAGUUGGUGGGGUAAAGGCCUACCAGGGCGACCAUCCGUAACUGGUCUGAGAGGAUGAUCAGUCACACUGGAACUGAGACACGGUCCACACUCCUACGGGAGGCAUCAGUGGGGAAUAUUGGACAAUGGGCGAAAGCCUGAUCCAGCCAUGCCGCGAGUGUGAAGAAGGUCUUCGGAUUGUAAAGCACUUUAAGUUGGGAGGAAGGGCAGUAAGUUAAUACCUUGCUGUUUUGACGUUACCAACAGAAUAAGCACCGGCUAACUUCGUGCCAGCAGCCGCGGUAAUACGAAGGGUGCAAGCGUUAAUCGGAAUUACUGGGCGUAAAGCGCGCGUAGGUGGUUCAGCACGUUGGAUGUGAAAUCCCCGGGCUCAACCUGGGAACUGCAUCCAAGACUACUGAGCUAGAGUACGGUAGAGGGUGGUGGAAUUUCCUGUGUAGCGCUGAAAUGCGUAGAUAUUGGAAGGAACACCAGUGGCGAAAGCGACCACCUGGACUGAUACUGACACUGAGGUGCGAAAGCGUGGGGAGCACACAGGAUUAGAUACCCUGGUAGUCCACGCCGUAUACGAUGUCGACUAGCCCCUGGGAUCCUUGAGAUCUUACUGGCGCAGCUAACGCGAUAAGUCGACCGCCUGGGGAGUACGGCCCGCAGGGUUAAAACUCAUAUGAAUUGACGGGGGCCCGCACAAGCGGUGGAGCAUGUGGUUUAAUUCGAAGCAUCACGAUGAACCUUACCUGGCCUUGACAUGCUGAGAACUUUCCAGAGAUGGAUUGGUGCCUUCGGGGACUCAGACACAGGUGCUGCAUGGCUGUCGUCAGCUCGUGUCGUGAGAUGUUGGGUUAAGUCCCGUAACGAGCGCAACCCUUGUCCUUAGUUACCAGCACCUCGGGUGGGCACUCUAAGGAGACUGCCGGUGACAAACCGGAGGAAGGUGGGGAUGACGUCAAGUCAUCAUGGCCCUUACGGCCAGGGCUACACACGUGCUACAAUGGUCGGUACAAAGGGUUGCCAAGCCGCGGAAUGGAGCUAAUCCCAUAAAACCGAUCGUAGUCCGGAUCGCAGUCUGCAACUCGACUGCGUGAAGUCGGAAUCGCUAGUAAUCGUGAAUCAGAAUGUCACGGUGAAUACGUUCCCGGGCCUUGUACACACCGCCCGUCACACCAUGCGAGUGGGUUGCUCCAGAAGUAGCUAGUCUAACCGCAAGGGGGACGGUACCC
rnacentral:rRNA from 1 species